CACUCUCUCGCCAUCAGGACCGGGAAGGCCAAAGAGCCCGGGGGUGCCGAUGUGCCCCUGAAGAGAUGAACAGAUGAAGGUGGAUGAAGGGAGCCAACAUGCAUCCAAGUAAGAUUACAACGGAUGGAAAUCAUCAUUAGCAGAUAAGGAGCAAGAGAAACGGAGAUAUGAGCAGCCGGGCUCUUGUGAUGACAAAACGCCAAGCUUGCGUUGGACAGACGUGCCUAAAGAACACGUCUGUUCUCGCCGCAGUGACAGAGACGUGUUGCAGGCCCGCUCGUGUACUGUGAAAUUCCUCCGCGUGGAGAAAGUCCUCAUUGACCUACGGUGACAGCCAGCGUCCGAGGGGAAACCCAACAGAGCGUCGAUUCAGCUGCCUGCAACUGGAUCCUGCCGAGGGCCCGGCCCCACCCCUCCCCUCGCUUCGCUUCGCCGUGCACCCAUUGUGAUCCAGGAAGGCGGACCGACCGAGCCUGUCGCCUUCAAACAACGCCUCCCAUGACCCAAGAGAGAUACUCGACGGGCCUGUCGAGUUCUUUUACUGCAGCAGGAUUGUGUUUGCGUAAUCGGGCACACAAACGGGGGACCGUGCACCUGGAAAAAAAACAUUCAAGGGGUCAGCGAGUUGGAUGCCUUGCUCAUGGUAAAUGGCCUUCUGAGUUUUAUAUUUUUUCCAUAGCAUUAUUUUUAGUUUGUUGGUGAAACACUCAAUUAGCCUCGCAGCUGCUCGGCAUACAUUGGAAAGUGAUUCCUUCCUUCGACGUGGCUCGACCUCAACUGCACAACACAAAAACAGGACUCAUUGUGUCCCUAUUUGACGAGCAGGUUCCAAAAUGUACUUUGCAUGUGUUUCCUGCCGUCAGUGUUAGAGGGGGGUUGCGGUCUCAUGCGUAUCAUCUCGGUGGUCCUCGCCUUGACAUCUCUUUCAUGUUGGCCCACGGGGGCCAGCUUCCGUCGAACCCAAGUGAAAAAACAUUGACUGCAACCCAAAAGUCUUCAGGGAAGAAAAUCGAAACAGAUAUUCAAUACCAGUGCCAUUGUUUUGUUUUCUCCCCACACGUCACACUGAUUCAUGAUUCCAGCCAAAUAGGAACUACCGUAAUUUUCGGACUAUAAGUCGCACCGGAGUACAAGUCGCACCAGCCAUA